GACGAACGCUGGCGGCGUGCUUAACACAUGCAAGUCGAACGAUGAAGCCUAGCUUGCUAGGUGGAUUAGUGGCGAACGGGUGAGUAAUACGUGAGUAACCUACCUUUAACUCUGGGAUAAGCCUGGGAAACUGGGUCUAAUACCGGAUACGACCAAUCUCCGCAUGGGGUGUUGGUGGAAAGCGUUAUGUAGUGGUUAUAGAUGGGCUCACGGCCUAUCAGCUUGUUGGUGAGGUAACGGCUCACCAAGGCGACGACGGGUAGCCGGCCUGAGAGGGUGACCGGCCACACUGGGACUGAGACACGGCCCAGACUCCGACGGGAGGCAGCAGUGGGGAAUAUUGCACAAUGGGCGCAAGCCUGAUGCAGCGACGCCGCGUGAGGGAUGACGGCCUUCGGGUUGUAAACCUCUGUUAGCAGGGAAGAAGAGAGAUUGACGGUACCUGCAGAGAAAGCGCCGGCUAACUACGUG
rnacentral:rRNA from 1 species